UCUCUCUCUAACUCUUGAAGAUUGAAAUAAAAAUUCUUGAACCUUGAAGAUUGAAGCUUCAUCUCAAACAUUCUGAAGAUGGCUAAUAGCCCUAAUCCUGAUGAACCCAUUGAUCUUCCAGAUUCUGAUUCAGAUGAUGAAGUUUCUGAUUCUCAUCAAACGAAAUCAAAGAAGAAAACCUCUAAUGUCACCUCGCUGAAUAAGCCUGGAAUUCAUUUCAAGCGCCAACGAAACUGUUAUUUUGGACAUGUAUUUGGUUUUCUAGUUGAACUUUUAUUUGCCUACUUGGAAGUAUUUUGGACAUGUAACUCUUGAAUUAUGUUGUUAAGUUAUGUUUGCUUGAAUUAUGUGUUGAAUUUGAA